AAAUCUGCUGUUAGACCAAGCCACUGUCACCUGCUUGCAGAGAUGGCAGCAGCCACCUGGUCUCCCUCAAUUUCACUCUUGCACCUUGACAGUCUCUUCACCACACAGCUGCAGGAAGGAUCUUUAUAAAACAUUUAUCAGCUGGUAUGCCCCUACCCAAACCAUCCAACGGCUCCAUAUGUCACUUAGAAUAAAAACCAAACUCCUCACCACAGCCUCAGGGCCUCAUGGGCUGUGUCCCCUGCCUGCCUCUGUGACCUCCUCUCUGACCACAUGGCAGCCUCAUUCUGCCCCAGCCACACUGACCUCCUUCCUGUUCCUCUAGCAUGCCAGGCACACCCCACCCUGGAGCCUUUGUCCGUGGUGUUCCCUGGACCUGGAAAGACCAUGCCCCCUCCCUCAGCGGUCUUCAAACUUCUCCAGUUCACCUUGAUUUCUUCAAAUGGAGACCACCACAUCCUUGUUUUGUUUUUGUUCUGUUUUGUUUUGUCUUGUUUUGUGGGAGGAAGUUCCUUACCACUAAGACCAAAGACCAGAGUUUGAUUUUAUAUAAAUAAACUAUUCUGACAGGCUCCAGGAACAGUGGCUCCUCUGCGGAAGGACCCCUCUCCACUCCCCUCUGAAGGAAGCUCAGAGCUUUGCUAUCUCCAAGUUAACGUCUCCGCUGCUCUCCCAGUAUCUCCCGGGUGUAGACCUCCUGACUGCCAAUUCCAGGUUGCACAGUCUCAGAAUCAGGCAUCAUUAGCUUGUCCGACACCAUUCUUAAAGAACGGCUGGAAUAUGCCUUUCACUAAAGGAAUCAGAGAGCACCUGGUAUCUGCCCAGCUCUGGCCCAGGCCCUGGGAAUGCUAAGAGAAAUCGGAAAUGGCCCCUCUCCUUAAGGAAUA
rnacentral:lncRNA from 1 species